rnacentral:misc_RNA from 1 species
AUAAACAGAAUGUUCUAUCAUAUAAUCACGUGCUAAUUUUAAUUUUCACGCAGAUAACCAUUUGAAUUUCCAAGCUUUAUCCAUGUGAAUAACUUCUGUUAAGCACGUGAGUUGUGAAAUGUGGCGAUAUCUACCGGAUUUGUAAUUCAAGGUGCAAAUUUGAAAUUACCGUAAAACUCGAUUAGUGCAAGAACGGACAUAGCGGAAUCGUGUAAAUAUCCGAAGUUUGGCUUUGUCUGAGUAAUCCUUCAAAUGUUACGGUUACCAUGGAAUCUUAUGAAACGAAUUAAUGAAGAUUGCUAAUUGAUUUACAUUUCCGAUGAAAUGUUUGAUAUAUUUGAUACUUCAAUUUUAAAUUAAAAUGACAUACUUAGUAAUAAAUAGAGGUUUUUUGAAUAUGUAACAUCAAAAAACUCGUAUCGGUCUCCGGGGCUGAUACAGGUUCCGAAUCACACCACUUGUGGAACUUCUCUACCUUUUUUCGUUUUGGCAUUCGUGCAUGUUUACAGACAAAAAAUAAAACAUUUGUUACAGUCAAAAUUUUUAAGUGCAGUUGAAAAGUUCAAAUGCUAGCAAAUGUUUUGGAGCAGUUAAUUUUACAACCUGCGGAAAUUCCUUUCUGUAGCUACAUGUACAUUGUACAUGUUUGGUAAAACAGUAAGAUCUCAUAUUUUUAUUUCAUACGUAUAUACUAGACUACUUUCAAAUAAAUACGAAUGCUGCCUUGCAUAAAUAAUUAAAAUUGUUUAAUUAAUAAAUUCUAAUGAACAAUUUCCCAUAUUUAACACAAUGUUUUUAACAUAUUGUUUCAUAUGACCUUUAAAUUCCAUUGGAACCAAAUAAAAACCUAAAUUUC